rnacentral:rRNA from 1 species
UACGUAGGGGGCAAGCGUUGUCCGGAUUUAUUGGGCGUAAAGGGCGCGUAGGUGGUUCUGUAUGUCUACCGUGAAAGCGUACGGCUCAACCGUAUUUUGUCGGUGGAAACUGCAGGACUUGAGGCUGGGAGGGGCUGGUGGAAUUCCCCGUGUAGCGGUGAAAUGCGUAGAGAUGGGGGAGAACACUCGUGGCGAAGGCGGCCAGCUAGACCAGUUCUGACACUGAGGCGCGACAGCGUGGGGAGCAAACAGG